rnacentral:rRNA from 1 species
UACGUAGGGGGCAAGCGUUAUCCGGAAUUACUGGGUGUAAAGGGUGAGUAGGCGGCAUGGUAAGCCGGAUGUGAAAGCCUUGGGCUUAACCCGAGGAUUGCAUUUGGAACUAUCAAGCUAGAGUACAGGAGAGGAAAGCGGAAUUCCUAGUGUAGCGGUGAAAUGCGUAGAUAUUAGGAAGAACACCAGUGGCGAAGGCGGCUUUCUGGACUGAAACUGACGCUGAGGCACGAAAGCGUGGGGAGCGAACAGG